AUAAAUAAAACUUAAAAAAAUUAAUAUAUUAAAAAUUAUAAUAAACUAAGAAGAAAGCUUAGAACAAAAGAUUUUAUGCAUAUGAUAAUUCAGAGCCAAAUCAGUGAAUGACUUCUUUUACGUCCCCCAAACAAUAGUCUCUGGGUAAUUUAAUGUAAAACAAAAAUCAAAGCCCAGCUGUUUCUCUUCGCCUUUUUAAUAAGUCAGUUAUACCUAUUUUAAUUAUCUAGUUUAAAACAAUGAACAAUUGAGGUAUUCCGAUCGUGGUACUAAUGGUCAAAACAAAAUACCUCAGACCCUGUCUCCUCUGUCCAAACAUCUGUAAACUAUAAUUUAUGUGCAAAUAUAGCUAUCUACUUGUAGUAACUGGCAAAGUUGAAUAGCCAAUUCUCAAAAACAAUGGUUUUCAACUCUGGAUGCACAUUAGAAUUACCUAGAGAAAUUAAAAAAUGUGAUCUACACCAAUGUCCUACUGUAAGUCAACUAAAUCAGGCUCUCUGGAAGGAGUGUUUGGUUUUUUUUUUUUUUUUUUUUUUUUUUUUUUUUUUUUUUUUUUUUUUUUUUCCUUAAAUUCCCCAGGGGAUUCUACUGUGAAGCCAGGGAUGGGAUCCACUUCUUAAGACGCUUCACAGGCAAUGCAUUCUCUGAGUGUCUCUGAAUGAAAUUCAGCUAAGAACGAUAAUCAAUGGAGAGAUUGCUUGAAGGCAAUGCAGUUCAUUCAUUUCUAGUCUACCAUCUUUAAGCCAGGGCUUUGCCGUGGGCACUGAAUCCCUGCCAUGGUCGCCUUGGCCUGAAAUAGAAUCAGAUGCUACUUCUUGAUCGAAUGCUGCCUCCCACCCUGGCCCACAGAUUCCUUCCCCGACACAGUUGUAGACUCUUGCCUUAGGACCUGGGAAGCCAGCCAAGGGACUGCUCCUGGGAGGUGACUCAACAUUCUAAGCCCGCUGUCGGUGUAUUCGCUUCUGAUGUCCACUCUAUUCCUACAUUCCAGAGACAGAAGAAAAAACUCAAGCUAAGCCAAAGAGUGGAUUUUAUUUUUUUGCCACAAUGACUGGUUUGGAGAUAGAGGAGACAUGACCUAAGUCAGACCAAAAAAUAUGCUAACAGACUCAAUUUAAGGAUUUUCUGUUGACCUGUCCAGGACACAGACUACGUCUUCUGUGAGACUAGUGUGAUAAUGUGAUUCUGAAGCUGAAAGCAGGGACAGAGAUCAAUCAGGGCGCAGGAAUGGAGCUAACCAGGAGAAAAUUUGUUAAAAAAUGGAUCCCAGUGAUGUCAUCUGGAUUACCAUACCCUUGAAGUUUUCACUUAUACAAUCUAAUCUAUUUCUUCUUUUCCUAAGGUAGUUUGAGUUGUUUUUCUCUCUUACUGAAAGAAUUCCAAGUGAUACAACUUCCAACUUUCCUUUCCACUCCAUGUGGAAAACUUAUUAAUUGUACAAAGGAAACAACUUUUUAACACCUAAAAAUAAGGGGUAAAACCCAUGGUUUAGUUAAGUGGGUAUGUGAUGUGAGUCUUGCACAGUGGAACCAGAACCAUAGCUGAGAUAAAUAAAAGAAAGGUCAGGAAGCAAGAUUUGACAGGAGUCUGGAUUUUAAGACUGAGACCCAGGAACAGCUGUUACUGAGGCAGGAGCUACCCACCUCCUGCUGGGACGCAUUUAAACUUGAAAGAGCUCUAGCUGUGAUGCCUCCCUAACACCAGGACAGACCGCAGGCUCUUAAACAUUUCAUUACAUACUUCUGAUAAUAGGCAUUUCUUAUUGCAGCUAGAAGAAGCUUCUUAAAGUAGCCAUAUUGUAGUAAGAGAUGGACAGGAAAGAAAAUGGAAAUCAAAUACUGAAAGGGAGUGAUGACCACCUUUCAGGAGGUCAAGUGGUUUAUUAUUAAUUAUUAUUAUUAUUAUUAUUAUUAUUUCAGUUUGGUUGCCAUGCUUAUUUAGCAUGGUUAAAUAGAAGAGUAAGGGGUGAUCAGGGAAAUCAGGUAGAAAUGAAAAGUAAUACUACUUAUAAAAAAGUUGAUAUGAUGAUAUCAAAGAGCUUUGGGUACUAAGUAUUAAGUACGGAUUAUUAAUAUGAAGCAUGCCUAAUAGUUAAAGAAUGAUCACAUCCUAAAAAUUAGGGGACACAGAGUGCUUAGUUUUAGAGCAAGUCCUGACCUUAAGGAAACUACAAUUUUGUGAACAUGAGAACUAUCAGGAUGAGAAAAAUUCCAAGGAAGAUUAAUACAGGAUUUCUCACUCCUCUAUUCAAACAGUGGUAGCAAUAAGAAUGCAAUUUCCUCCCAAUGUUUAAUGUCCAUUGUCUCUCACCAGUACAUCAUAAAUUUUUCAGGAAGGUGCUGUCUUUUUCUUUUUACAAUCCUUGGAUAUUUAAUGAGGGAGAACAAAAACUAUGUACUUUGCCUAUUUUAUAUAAUGCAGCUUAUAUAUGAAGGAUCGCUAUGCAUGACUGUUCAAAGAACGGAGCCUACAAAUCCAAAUCUAUUUUUCUAAAAAAAUAAAGAGUAAUCCACUUCUAAUUCUCUUCAUGAAUAAUAAAGCAGACAGUGGUUAAAAGCAAAGAAGUACGUUCCAGAAGAGAAUUUCCUUGCAACCAUGACUGAAAAGGCUGCUAGAGGCCAAUGGACACUACAAGAGAAACACAAGGAAAGACAGCUAACAAAAUUCUUACACCUGAAAGAUAAAGAUGAAUAAGAAAGAAGAAAUAGAGAUUUAAUAAGUUAAACCAGCACAUCUGCUCUGAAGAAGUCUUGCAUUUUUAACAACACCCUUUUGUUGGUGCCAUUUAUCGGGAUAAACACACCAGGGCUUUGGCACUGAAGCUGGAAUCUAUUUGCACAUGAUACUGGUUAUCUAGAUGAAAGCUAGAUGCCAGGAAAAAGCAGUUCUUGAGUGAGGACUAACAUAUAAGUCACAGAAACUGUUCUUAUGUGGCUCUUAUUUCAGUGUUGUGUCAUCGUCUCCCACCCCAAGCUGGCCUUUACUGAUCCCUUCUCCUGUGAAACUGUUCCAGCCUCUGCUGUUUACUUGGAAUGAGUAUCACAUUCAAAUGGAGACUUGGACUUUAUCCAAUUUAGCUUUAGCCAGCUGAAACAGUAUCAAUGGGAGAAAAUGAUGCUGUAAUUUUCUCCUCUGGUAAAAUGUGGCUAGAAAUCCAUGCAGAAAAUGUAGCAAUAUUCAUUAAAACGAAGAAUAUGCUACAAUGAAUAGUAAUAGUUUGCUUUUAAAAGCACUUGUUAAAAUACCAUUAGAUGUUCAAUAAUGACUGAGACGAUGUAACAGAGAUGUAUGAAUACGAAUAUUGAGUUCGAUUGCUUUGAACUCUGAAGUGAUUCCUUUCUCAGAUUGCAUUUUCAAGUGUGACAACUGGAGAGGACAAUUAAACAAUAACCAAACUACCAAUGUAUUGUGAAAUGCUGAAUGAGUGCCAUCUUUACCUGCACAAAGAAAAAUACAUACACGUUUGUGUGACAGAGCGGAGUUAGCACCAGCAUAAGUAUAAUCAAUAUCUCUGAAAUUAGAGGGAAAAAAAUAACUGAACUAUAUAUGUAGGCUCUCCGUUUUCCAAAUGAGACCCUACAGCUAUACACUUGAAAGGAGAAGAUUCAUUACAGUUAAUUGUUAGUUUAAGAUUCACCUUCGUAUGCACAUUUGUGAUAAAAUAAAUGAAUAAAUGGAUAUUCAUUACUCAGGAGAGUUAAGAUAACCUGCUAGAUUUGAGACCAACCUUUUAAAAACGUCAUCAUGUGAAUGUGCUCACAAUCCUAUAAAACGCAAUAUUGCAAAGUGGGCAACUGGGCCGACCCUGGAGUCAGAUGAAAAGGAAGUGAAGCUUGGUUUUGCCGUUUUCUAACUCAGAGACGUGGGGCAAAACACUUACCUCCUCUUGGUUUCAUCUGGAAAAUGUGAAUGAUGGUGAUAAUAACAGUGCCCAGCUGUUGUAAGGUGAUUUAGGUAAACAUUUAGAACAGUGACAGACCCACAGUAAACAAUAAAUGUUAGACAUUUUUUAGUCAACAUCCUUCUAAGUAGAUAGUGGAAGGUAGAAUAAAAGGUUGGAAAGAGAAACCCAAAGGAAAAGCAGGGGAAUUAGUCCUCGUGUUAUUCUUAAGUCUUUGGUGCUCAUAAAAAGAGAAAAUUUGAGUGAUAAAGUUAAUCUGUAUGAAAAUAUGAAGGUCAAGCUACUAUUUCUAAACAUGUGGUGGCUAAACUGGUUCAACCAUAAUCUCCAGAAGGUUAAUUGUUUUCACUGCUGUGCAGCAGUCUGAUGGAAAAGGAGAGUCCAAUGGUCUUAAAGUGGUUCUUUAUGCAGCAUGCACAUGGAAAUAAAGUGUUUUCUUGUAGUCAACUAGUAACUUUUCUUAGUUGAUCAUUUCUCAGGAUGCACUUUCUUUGAAGUCUUGAAAUGCCUCAGCAAAUGUACUCUCUUAACUGCCUUUUAAUAUUAUCCUCCUUAAGAAUGUGAAGGUAAAAAAAAAAAAAAAAAGAAUGUGAAGGUGGCUUCAAGGACAAGGGAAGAAAAUGGUAAGUAGGCAGAAUCAGAUUGUCAUUGUCUUCUUUCCAUCAACUAGUUUGUGAAACUACGUUAAUUGUUUUAAAAUGCCCAAGACUUCCUCUCCAUUACUUAUCAGAGUCAUGCAUUAAAAGGAUAAAUAUGGUUUCCUCACAAAAAUCAAGUUCACAAAGAACCUUGGUAGUUCCCUUACUAUUACCCUAGUUUAACAAAAGGUGAUGCAUGCUAUAUUUAUUUUCAUUUACACCCUGAAGGAAAAAUAUUACUUACUUUCCAUCCCAGACAUGGUCACCUCUGUGGAAAAUCACCAGGUUAUUCUUAGGGUCCAGAGCCACCCCAGAGACCUGGCCUGGUAACAGGUAUACU